AAUCAGAUGCUUUAUCAAAAUACCCUUUUGCCUCAGCAAGGUCAGAAGUCAGAAAUGCAUAUGAGGUAUUUGCAUUUCCUAUAUACCAUAGUGUGUCAGCCUUGGCAGGAUUUAUCACCAAAGCCUCCUCCAACUUGGAAAUGGCAUCAUUUAACAUCUUUUUUGCGUCUGGAACGCUCUGAAAUUGAGACAGUUCAAUCAAAGCUCCACCCCACUUAGUCAGAUUAUCAGCAUCGAGAGGAUCCUUAGCGUAGGUAGCUUCAGCGGAUUUUCGAGUAUGCUCAAACAUCAGGAGCCGAUCGAAGUCAUCUUGAGAGAACUCCAUUUUCUCUGUCGUCAGCUCUAGGGUUUUCAGUUAAUAGAACACGCAGAGAGAGAGAGGGAGCGAGAAAGGGCGG
rnacentral:misc_RNA from 1 species